rnacentral:lncRNA from 10 species
GUUAAAUAUGAGGGCCCGCUCUGCCUAUUCUGUAAUAACCCAGUGCUUCCAGGGAUAGCAAUAACACUGGCUCAGCUAUUCAGAAAAAAAGCUGAGUGCCUACUAUGUGCAAGUUGUCAUAUGCUAAAAUGUGAGCUUACCAAGAUAACUGCAAGUGUCUGCCCUCAAGUUGCUUAUAGUUUGCCACAGGAAGACCAAAAUAUAUACUUAUUGAGAGAAAGAAGAUAAAGUUACGAGUGUUACAGCCCCGAAUAUGGUGGGUGCUUAAGCUGUUUGUUAAGCAGUUGAGUGGCAGGGAGGGAGAUAUUCAAGGCAGAAAGCUGAUUGAGAAAGCAGUAAUAGAUGAGAUUAUAGUGGCAGGAUGGUCGAAGUAGGAAAGGCUUAGAGCAAGGGCUAGACUAUGUCAUGUGUUCUGUGUAGAAGUGAAAAUUUGUAAGCUCUAGACUUUUUAUUCUGCUCGAUCUAAUUAGAAUCAGUGAGCAUAAAAUAGGUUUCUAAUAGCAAGAACUUGCUAUUUAGAUAAGG